rnacentral:rRNA from 1 species
AGAUUCCCCCAGUAGCGGCGAGCGAACGGGGAGGAGCCCAGAGCCUGAAUCAGUGUGUGUGUUAGUGGAAGCGUCUGGAAAGGCGUGCGAUACAGGGUGACAGCCCCGUACACAAAAAUGCACAUAUUGUGAGCUCGAUGAGUAGGGCGGGACACGUGGUAUCCUGUCUGAAUAUGGGGGGACCAUCCUCCAAGGCUAAAUACUCCUGACUGACCGAUAGUGAACCAGUACCGUGAGGGAAAGGCGAAAAGAACCCCGGCGAGGGGAGUGAAAAAGAACCUGAAACCGUGUACGUACAAGCAGUGGGAGCCUCUUAAUGGGGUGACUGCGUACCUUUUGUAUAAUGGGUCAGCGACUUAUAUUCUGUAGCAAGGUUAACCGAAUAGGGGAGCCGAAGGGAAACCGAGUCUUAACUGGGCGUUAAGUUGCAGGGUAUAGACCCGAAACCCGGUGAUCUAGCCAUGGGCAGGUUGAAGGUUGGGUAACACUAACUGGAGGACCGAACCGACUAAUGUUGAAAAAUUAGCGGAUGACUUGUGGCUGGGGGUGAAAGGCCAAUCAAACCGGGAGAUAGCUGGUUCUCCCCGAAAGCUAUUUAGGUAGCGCCUCGUGAAUUCAUCUCCGGGGGUAGAGCACUGUUUCGGCAAGGGGGUCAUCCCGACUUACCAACCCGAUGCAAACUGCGAAUACCGGAGAAUGUUAUCACGGGAGACACACGGCGGGUGCUAACGUCCGUCGUGAAGAGGGAAACAACCCAGACCGCCAGCUAAGGUCCCAAAGUCAUGGUUAAGUGGGAAACGAUGUGGGAAGGCCCAGACAGCCAGGAUGUUGGCUUAGAAGCAGCCAUCAUUUAAAGAAAGCGUAAUAGCUCACUGGUCGAGUCGGCCUGCGCGGAAGAUGUAACGGGGCUAAACCAUGCACCGAAGCUGCGGCAGCGACACUAUGUGUUGUUGGGUAGGGGAGCGUUCUGUAAGCCUGUGAAGGUGGCCUGUGAGGGUUGCUGGAGGUAUCAGAAGUGCGAAUGCUGACAUAAGUAACGAUAAAGCGGGUGAAAAGCCCGCUCGCCGGAAGACCAAGGGUUCCUGUCCAACGUUAAUCGGGGCAGGGUGAGUCGACCCCUAAGGCGAGGCCGAAAGGCGUAGUCGAUGGGAAACAGGUUAAUAUUCCUGUACUUGGUGUUACUGCGAAGGGGGGACGGAGAAGGCUAUGUUGGCCGGGCGACGGUUGUCCCGGUUUAAGCGUGUAGGCUGGUUUUCCAGGCAAAUCCGGAAAACCAAGGCUGAGGCGUGAUGACGAGGCACUACGGUGCUGAAGCGACAAAUGCCCUGCUUCCAGGAAAAGCCUCUAAGCAUCAGGUAACAUCAAAUCGUACCCCAAACCGACACAGGUGGUCAGGUAGAGAAUACCAAGGCGCUUGAGAGAACUCGGGUGAAGGAACUAGGCAAAAUGGUGCCGUAACUUCGGGAGAAGGCACGCUGAUAUGUAGGUGAAGCGACUUGCUCGUGGAGCUGAAAUCAGUCGAAGAUACCAGCUGGCUGCAACUGUUUAUUAAAAACACAGCACUGUGCAAACACGAAAGUGGACGUAUACGGUGUGACGCCUGCCCGGUGCCGGAAGGUUAAUUGAUGGGGUUAGCGGUAACGCGAAGCUCUUGAUCGAAGCCCCGGUAAACGGCGGCCGUAACUAUAACGGUCCUAAGGUAGCGAAAUUCCUUGUCGGGUAAGUUCCGACCUGCACGAAUGGCGUAAUGAUGGCCAGGCUGUCUCCACCCGAGACUCAGUGAAAUUGAACUCGCUGUGAAGAUGCAGUGUACCCGCGGCAAGACGGAAAGACCCCGUGAACCUUUACUAUAGCUUGACACUGAACAUUGAGCCUUGAUGUGUAGGAUAGGUGGGAGGCUUUGAAGUGUGGACGCCAGUCUGCAUGGAGCCGACCUUGAAAUACCACCCUUUAAUGUUUGAUGUUCUAACGUUGGCCCGUAAUCCGGGUUGCGGACAGUGUCUGGUGGGUAGUUUGACUGGGGCGGUCUCCUCCUAAAGAGUAACGGAGGAGCACGAAGGUUGGCUAAUCCUGGUCGGACAUCAGGAGGUUAGUGCAAUGGCAUAAGCCAGCUUGACUGCGAGCGUGACGGCGCGAGCAGGUGCGAAAGCAGGUCAUAGUGAUCCGGUGGUUCUGAAUGGAAGGGCCAUCGCUCAACGGAUAAAAGGUACUCCGGGGAUAACAGGCUGAUACCGCCCAAGAGUUCAUAUCGACGGCGGUGUUUGGCACCUCGAUGUCGGCUCAUCACAUCCUGGGGCUGAAGUAGGUCCCAAGGGUAUGGCUGUUCGCCAUUUAAAGUGGUACGCGAGCUGGGUUUAGAACGUCGUGAGACAGUUCGGUCCCUAUCUGCCGUGGGCGCUGGAGAACUGAGGGGGGCUGCUCCUAGUACGAGAGGACCGGAGUGGACGCAUCACUGGUGUUCGGGUUGUCAUGCCAAUGGCACUGCCCGGUAGCUAAAUGCGGAAGAGAUAAGUGCUGAAAGCAUCUAAGCACGAAACUUGCCCCGAGAUG